AGAUGCAAAUUAGGUUCAUCAAAGAUGAGAAUCAUAUAUAUAUAGGGUUUACAGAAAGGCUACAACUCAGGAACAUUUAAGAUCAAGCGAUUUAAGAUGGGGAGAUGAAGUGUUCACCGAUGAAAAAAUAGAUUACGAACAGACACACAGCGCAAUUCUAUAACUCAAACUUGUCUAAGACAAUGAUGAAAAGAACCCUAACUCAUGUUAAGCGAAGACAAUUUACAAUAUGGAAAAACUAUAAUUGUUGUUUUUUUCAUAUAACGUGAUGAACCUCAUUUAAAAAUGAAACUCAUAAUACACUUGUAGGUCUGACCCACAGAGAAAACCGAAGAAGCAAAGGUUUCCAACCUUCAUAAAUAAAUACUCCCUCUGUUCCCGGAAGUAAGAUUUUCUAAAGUGUUCACGCUUAUUAAGAAUUCAAUAAAUAUUUAUAAUUUAAUUUUUCUUUUACUUUAUCAUACACUUUCCAAUAACUUUUCACCAAUGAAAUUUAAUCAAUUCAAAUAUUUUUAUUUAAUGUUUCUUAAAAGUAUAAAAAAAUACCUUAAACAUAUAGAAAAUCUAUCUUUGUGGAACAAGUAAAAAAUCUAAAACAUCUUACUUUCGGGAACAGAAGGAGUAUUAGUUUUGGCCAUCAAUGUACAAAGUAUUCUUUAGUUUAGUGGUAUAAAUGUUAGUGUUUAUAUUUCAAUAAUCCG
rnacentral:lncRNA from 1 species